ACUGUUCACAAUAGCCAAGAUUUGGAAGCAACCUAAGUGUCCACCAAGAGAUGAAUGGAUAAAGAAAAUAUGGUACUUAUAUACAAUGGAGUAUACUCAGCCAUAAAAAAGAAUGAGAUCCAGUCAUUUGCAACAACAUGGAUGGAAAUGGAGAUCAUUACGUUAAGUGAAAUCAGCCAGAUUUGUCUAAUAUAGAUACUUCCGUGAGCAGCCCAAGCCCCUCUUCACUGACAAGUUCUACCUCACCUUAACCGAGGGCAUUGCUCUUUCAGACAGACCACCUUGCAAAGGACAGCUGCAUACUCAACCUGCCGCUGUUUCUCCUGGAGGCCAACCUGGUGACCUUCCUCUUCCCUCUGGACCGCCUGAGAAGGGCGGCAGAAAAGGAGAUGGUGACAAGAUGCCUCUGCACAACCUCGCCAUGGUUUUGGCCCCAUGAUGCUCUGGCUUUCUAGUCUUCAUUGCUUUGUCUCCAACUCAAGCAUAGUUUUUGUUUGUUUGUUUGUUUGUUUUACUCAUUCUUGAGAGGAAGCCAUUAGCUUUCUUUGGAUGCUUUGUCAUUUAUCUUAUGUGACUACACCAGUUAAUCAAAGGAUCACUUGCUGCUCUUCUUCCACUAAAACAACACCCACUUCAUGCUCAUUGUCUAAAGUGGGGGCAUCAUUUGUAACUACAGAUACUAAUUGUGGGGAUCCCAGGUUUAUUAUGUGGGAGAGACUGAGACUCCCCUCAUCUGUCCCCUGAGGAGGGUUCAUAGGUGAGUGAGAAAGGGACAAGGCAGCGAUGUGGACAUCUCCCCACAUUGCCCAAGGGGCAUUGCUUCCUAGUGAGGAAACUCUCGCUGCAGUUUUCUGGCAGGGAAAUAAUACAAUCUCCAGAUCAUUUAUCAAUUUUGUUUUUUUUAAAUAAAUAUUUUGCCAUUAUUAGAUGAGUAUAUAAAAAAUAAAUAAUAUGGAUUUAUCUUGCAGUGUACCAUUUAACUCCAUCCCAAAAUAGAUCUAUUAUCUUCUCUUUUGUUCAAUGAAUACUAUUCAUACCUAGGCAAAACUGUUGCUGUUACUCAUGAUUUAAGGGCAUUAGGAAUACAACUCUAGGGAAAAAAUACUGCUAUUGGAAACCAAAAAGAGUGUCUGGGACAGGUGUCAAUCUAUUUAGAGGUUUUUUUCACCAAGGUUGAGGAUGCACCCGGGAAAAAGAGACACAAGCCACAGUGGAAUCUGUGGCCUGCACUUUUUCCAAAGAGUUUUGAGGGUUUCAAUAUUUAUAGGGGAAAAAGCAGGCCAAAGGGAAAGGAAAGAAGACAAAAAGGGGAGAGUAGAAAAAAUGAGACAAGUGGUCUCAUUGUCUUGAGGCUUUCAUUAGUUCUCACUGAAGCCACAGGUUGCCCAUGAAAAGGAGGGGGUAGAGGAACAGCUGAUUAUGUGCUCGCCUGGCACUGGUAAGGCUGCACCUCACAUGAGAUAAAGCAAACAUAGAGUAGAGGAAGCAUCAACAUGCAUUUGUCUUGGGGUGGUGGUAGGAAUAUUUCUAGUUUCCUUUUGUCCUGUAUCCCUGAAGAUAAGUUGCUAAUUUACAUGGUCAGGGUGAGGGAGGUAACCUGGAAAGAUAUGUUUAGGAACAAAAGGAAAGAUGGUUUCUGGGUGUGACUCAGUUUCCAAGUUUAACUUUCCCUUUUGGCAUAGCGAGUUUGGGGUCCCAACAUUUUAUUUUCCUUUUACACUAUUGACUACUAACAGUCUUUGUUGUUAAAUUCCAUCUGUUUUAAAAUUUUAAUAAAAUAUUUAUAUCAUAAAAUAUAAAUUAUUCACUUAUAAGAUUAAUAUAAAUAAUAUUAACAAAACAUUGUCUUGAAAAAUGUAGUUUGACAAAGUUUCAAUCUGAGUAAAAGAUAGUAUCUUAAAUACAGUAUUUUUUCACUGCUGGUGAGAGAGAAUCUAAACUUUCUGUGAAGACUAAGAAAGUCUCACAUUCUUGGUGCACGCCAGGAAGCCCCGUGUUCCUUGGAUGUGGAGGAGUUGAACAUGAAGGAGCUGGCUGUGAUGUCAGCAUGUGAAGGUGGAGGAACUCCAGCCCAGGAGGGGCUCCUGGAUCCACCCGCCCCAGAUGGACUCGAGGUGGGGAAGGCAGCCUGGAGGCUUGGGAGGCCUGAGUAGAGAGGAGGGAACAGCGCUCCCUUAAGACCCAGGCCCACUCCCAGGGAAGGGAGCAGCAGGGCCACACUCUUGGCCACCUUGGAAGAGCUCCUUGCUGUGGGCUGAUUCCCACGACCUUGUCUAGGGAUUCCAGCAUUUUAGGUAGCUCCUCCAUUGCCUUCGUUGGUUAGAGCAUUUGGAACUUUUCUUUUUCACUUCUCGAACCAAAGAAGUUAAUUCCUUCAUCGAUACCAAGUUGGCACUCUUCACCUUUUUGUAAGCAUCUGCAAGGCUGGGAAUAUUUAAAGACUCCUUCUUUAGCCAGGCAUUCUCUAGUGCUGCCUCCAUCUCUGCAUACUCCUUUUUCAAAACACCAAGCUUCUAAAUGAAUUGAUUUUUUUCUCACAUUCUGCAGCCUGUGUUUUGUGAGUCACUUUUCAUGUCUUACAUAAAGUCAGCUUCUAACAGAUUCAACAAGUCUGAACAAAAAUAAAAGACCUACCAAGAAGCUGAUGAGACCAGUGUCUCCCCUGAUGGCUUUGGAAAGUGAGUUGUGGACUGAAGCCAUUGGGCAGCAUCUUAUAUAUCACCUCACACAUUUCGUAAAUAUCAGCCCCAAACGAAGUUUCACAGAAGAUCCCGGCCCCUCCAUCCCUGCAACCAUGGAUUCUGCACCACAACAAACCCUGGGGAACACCUCAGCAUUCCACCUGGAAUCAACCAGGAACAGGCAGCCUAUACUAGUCAGUUUCAUGGUCACCAUCAAGGAGGAUUAGUAAAUAAACAUGCUUGUCUCCUUACUGUCUAGUAAUCAGUCUUCUUUACCUGUUUCUUAUUGUAUGUGUAUCAACAGACAAUUAAAAUAUAGUGAAAGGUGCCAAUCUUAAGUGUAUAGCUUGAAUAAGCCUUUAAAAUGUUAUACCCCCACUGCGUCCUGCAACCCUAUCAAGGUAUGAGUCCUGUGUAUCAACACAGAAAUCCCCCCCAGUUCCUUUCCAAUCAGUGUCCACUCGCCCUGACUCACGCAGCCUUGGAGAAGGUUGCUCUGAACACAUCCCAGUUGAGCCUCAGCAUCAAGGUCAUGGAAUCAAUUACAAUGUGCUUUCUGAUCUCUGCCUGCUUUGCUCAAAGUGUUUUUGAAACUUAUCUGUUCU
rnacentral:lncRNA from 1 species